rnacentral:rRNA from 1 species
AGAAUUUGAUCCUGGCUCAGGACGAACGCUGGCGGCGUGCUUAACACAUGCAAGUCGAACGGAAAGGCCCUUCGGGGUACUCGAGUGGCGAACGGGUGAGUAACACGUGGGUGAUCUGCCCUGCACUCUGGGAUAAGCCUGGGAAACUGGGUCUAAUACCGGAUAGGACCACACACUUCAUGGUGAGUGGUGCAAAGCUUUUGCGGUGUGGGAUGAGCCCGCGGCCUAUCAGCUUGUUGGUGGGGUAAUGGCCCACCAAGGCGACGACGGGUAGCCGGCCUGAGAGGGUGACCGGCCACACUGGGACUGAGAUACGGCCCAGACUCCUACGGGAGGCAGCAGUGGGGAAUAUUGCACAAUGGGCGCAAGCCUGAUGCAGCGACGCCGCGUGAGGGAUGACGGCCUUCGGGUUGUAAACCUCUUUCAGUAGGGACGAAGCGAAAGUGACGGUACCUACAGAAGAAGGACCGGCCAACUACGUGCCAGCAGCCGCGGUAAUACGUAGGGUCCGAGCGUUGUCCGGAAUUACUGGGCGUAAAGAGCUCGUAGGUGGUUUGUCGCGUUGUUCGUGAAAACUCACAGCUUAACUGUGGGCGUGCGGGCGAUACGGGCAGACUAGAGUACUGCAGGGGAGACUGGAAUUCCUGGUGUAGCGGUGGAAUGCGCAGAUAUCAGGAGGAACACCGGUGGCGAAGGCGGGUCUCUGGGCAGUAACUGACGCUGAGGAGCGAAAGCGUGGGUAGCGAACAGGAUUAGAUACCCUGGUAGUCCACGCCGUAAACGGUGGGUACUAGGUGUGGGUUUCCUUCCUUGGGAUCCGUGCCGUAGCUAACGCAUUAAGUACCCCGCCUGGGGAGUACGGUCGCAAGACUAAAACUCAAAGGAAUUGACGGGGGCCCGCACAAGCGGCGGAGCAUGUGGAUUAAUUCGAUGCAACGCGAAGAACCUUACCUGGGUUUGACAUGCACAGGACGUACCUAGAGAUAGGUAUUCCCUUGUGGCCUGUGUGCAGGUGGUGCAUGGCUGUCGUCAGCUCGUGUCGUGAGAUGUUGGGUUAAGUCCCGCAACGAGCGCAACCCUUGUCCUAUGUUGCCAGCGGGUAAUGCCGGGGACUCGUAGGAGACUGCCGGGGUCAACUCGGAGGAAGGUGGGGAUGACGUCAAGUCAUCAUGCCCCUUAUGUCCAGGGCUUCACACAUGCUACAAUGGCCAGUACAGAGGGCUGCGAAGCCGCGAGGUGGAGCGAAUCCCUUAAAGCUGGUCUCAGUUCGGAUUGGGGUCUGCAACUCGACCCCAUGAAGUCGGAGUCGCUAGUAAUCGCAGAUCAGCAACGCUGCGGUGAAUACGUUCCCGGGCCUUGUACACACCGCCCGUCACGUCAUGAAAGUCGGUAACACCCGAAGCCAGUGGCCUAACCUUUUGGAGGGAGCUGUCGAAGGUGGGAUCG